GGAGGAGCGGCCUGGCUUUGUCUGAGUCAGGCAGCCCAGCGUGUGGGAUGCCAGGCUGGAUGUGCUGGGCCUGACCAGCCGCCCGCUUUCCUCUUCUCUUGCCUCUGCCUGCCCCCUGGUGGACAGCUGGGGUAAAGCAUGGGAGUGCGCCUUUGGGGUCUCAGUGGGGCUGAAAUACGACUCCUCCCCUAGGACAGCCUGCCUUCCCCAGCCUUGUUCUCCGGCAAAGUCAAUUUCCUGGAGAAUCGAGGCUCUGCCUCAGAUGUUCGGAGCCUCCGCAGGAUGAACACCUCCAUUUCAAUUCCAGGGGCUUUGAUCAACCUGUGCCUCCCUUGAUCCCCAACUUGUGGGCACCUUCCCUUGAGCAGUGCCCCCACGAGGUACACCUUUCCCGGGAAACAAAAAUCAUUCCUUCUUUGGGUCCUGCAAGCUGUAAAGAACCAAUACAGCACUGUGCUACUGAACAUGUUGCCACUAUAGAAGCCCCUUGUGUUUUGAAGAGUACAUCUCUAUAGCCAUUCGUUUAUUCAUCAGAAACCAGCUAGAAGCCAGGCCCUGUGCUGGGCGCUGGAGACAUGGAAGAAACUGGGCUGAGGCUCCCGCCUUGAAGAGCUUGUGGCCCAGGGAAGGGACAGUUCAUCUGUCAUUGAUUGCCACGUGACAGUGUCUAUGAUGCUAAAAAGAUGCCAGUGCUGUGCUGCAGGAGCAAAGGCCGUGGAGGAAGAGGCUUUGGCUUUGUUGCGAGUCCUUGCCAGAGCCAGGCAAAGCCAGUCACCGCUUUGUUCAGAUGACUCAGGUAAAUAAAUGAGGCCGCACAGGCUGUCCUGACACCACACACCUCUAGAAUACCCUGGCUGUGCUGGGAGCUAUUGGUGUCAGCUGAGUAUUUUCAUCCCUGUCCAAGUCACAAUGAUCUGACUGUACCAGCCUGUGUGGAUGUUGCUAAGAGGAGGCAGACAGCACCAUGAGCUCCCUUAGAUGACGAUCGGCAUGAUGUUCCUGCUGUGGCAGCGCUCAGCUCUUGCCAAUGCUCUUCUCUGCUUUGCUCACUUUAAGCCUCCCUUAAUUUUUUUGAAGCCCAGUUUCCACAUUGCUGAUUCACAGAUAUGCAAGACUCAGGCAGGAAAAAAAAAAGACUUCUUAGAGGACUUGGAAAGAAAAUGAAAUGACGUUGAACGAAAUCAAAGUAAAUUGAGUGAUCUGAAACGAUUUGAUGUCAGCAAGAAUUCCCCAUACAGCUCACAGCCCUACCCCGAGCACGCCUCCCUCUUGGCUCUCUGCAGGCCCAAACCUUGCAGAAGCCAUUCCAUGUUUCCUGAGCAGGAAAAGACAAACUCAGACCGACAACCUUGGACUUCAAAAGACUGCACACAAGGGGAGGAAGGACUGAGAGUACCAAGGCGUGAGAAUUCAGAAUGCUGCUAUCUCAUUUAUUUUUACCAUUUAGGAAACGUUUUGAUCUGCAUUCCUUUUCCCUUCCCUGAUUUCAAAAAAUAAAAAUAAAAA
rnacentral:lncRNA from 1 species